GAUGAACGCUGGCGGCGUGCCUAAUACAUGCAAGUCGAGCGAACAGACGAGGAGCUUGCUCCUCUGACGUUAGCGGCGGACGGGUGAGUAACACGUGGAUAACCUACCUAUAAGACUGGGAUAACUUCGGGAAACCGUAGCUAAUACCGGAUAAUAUAUUGAACCGCAUGGUUCAAUAGUGAAAGACGGUUUUGCUGUCACUUAUAGAUGGAUCCGCGCCGCAUUGGCUAGUUGGUAAGGUAACGGCUUACCAAGGCGACGAUGCGUAGCCGACCUGAGAGGGUGAUCGGCCACACUGGAACUGAGACACGGUCCAGACUCCUACGGGAGGCAGCAGUAGGGAAUCUUCCGCAAUGGGCGAAAGCCUGACGGAGCAACGCCGCGUGAGUGAUGAAGGUCUUCGGAUCGUAAAACUCUGUUAUUAGGGAAGAACAAAUGUGUAAGUAACUAUGCACGUCUUGACGGUACCUAAUCAGAAAGCCACGGCUAACUACGUG
rnacentral:rRNA from 1 species